rfam:Hydrocarboniphaga effusa AP103 245_1, whole genome shotgun sequence.
GGGGGCGACAUGGCUUCGACGGCGGUCGCGAAACCCAAGGGGCAUGCCGAGCUGCAGGUCUGCUCGUUAAACGGUCUGCAAAAAAGCUAGUUGCGAACGACGCUAACUACGCCCUCGCCGCCUAAACUCCGGUGAGCGUUCGACCCAGCAGUGUCGGUACUCUGGACUCGGACGUCGACUCUUACCGAAUAAGGCUGAAGCCCGCCCUUGGCUGAUGCUCGAAAACCUCAAGGGGAUAAGCCGUAGCGAUCCGUGCCUGUUCGGGAGCUGCGGACCAAAACUAAAGACUAGGCUACGCAUGUAGAACCGAGGGCGGAGGAUCGUCGGACGGGGGUUCAAUUCCCCCCGCCUCCACCA